GCGAAAGCAUUCAUCAAUUCCAUACCUUUUAAUCAAGAACGAAAGUUGGGGGAUCGAAAGUGAUUAGAUACCACUGUAGUCUCAACCAUAAACGAUGUCAACUAUGGAUUCGCUUUGAUCAUAUUAUUAUAUACUUGUAUAUUUUAUUUCGACAAAGGGAGAACAUUGUGAGAAAUCAAAGUUUUUAGACUCUGGGGAGAGUAUGAGUGGCAAUACUGAAAUUUAAAGGAAUUGACGGAAGUGGUACCACCAGGAGUGGAGCUUGCGGCUUAAUUUGACUCAACGCGGGAAACUUUACCAGUGCCGAACAUUGUGAGGAUAGACAGAUUGCAGUUCUUUCUUGAUUCUGUGCUUUUACGUAGUGCAUGGCCUUUGGGAAGUGAGUGGAUUG
rnacentral:rRNA from 1 species